rnacentral:rRNA from 1 species
UACGGGGGGGGCAAGCGUUGUUCGGAAUUACUGGGCGUAAAGCGUGCGCAGGCGGUUUGUUAAGUCUGUUGUGAAAUCCCCGAGCUCAACUUGGGAAUUGCAAUGGAUACUGGCAGGCUGGAGUAUGGUAGAGGAAGGUGGAAUUCCCGGUGUAGCAGUGAAAUGCGUAGAGAUCGGGAGGAACACCAGUGGCGAAGGCGGCCUUCUGGACCAAUACUGACGCUCAUGCACGAAAGCGUGGGGAGCAAACAGG